rnacentral:rRNA from 2 species
UGAGGAAUAUUGGUCAAUGGGCGCGAGCCUGAACCAGCCAAGUCGCGUGAGGGACGACGGUUCCUACGGAUUGUAAACCUCUUUAGGCGGGGAGUAAUGUGCUCUACGAGUAGAGUAGUGAGAGUACCCGCAGAAUAAGCAUCGGCUAACUCCGUGCCAGCAGCCGCGGUAAUACGGAGGAUGCGAGCGUUAUCCGGAUUUAUUGGGUUUAAAGGGUGCGCAGGCUGUGCAUCAAGUCAGCGGUAAAAUCUCGGGGCUCAACCCCGUUUAGCCGUUGAAACUGGUGUGCUGGAGUGUGCGCGAGGAAGGCGGAAUGCGCGGUGUAGCGGUGAAAUGCAUAGAUAUUGCGCAGAACUCCGAUUGCGAAGGCAGCCUUCCAGUGCAUGACUGACGCUGAGGCACGAAAGCGUGGGUAUCGAACAGGAUUAGAUACCCUGGUAGUCCACGCAGUAAACGAUGAAUACUAUCUUUCCGUCGCGAUUGAGCGGGGGGAGGACAAGCGAAAGCGUUAAGUAUUCCACCUGGGGAGUACGCCGGCAACGGUGAAACUCAAAGGAAUUGACGGGGGCCCGCACAAGCGGAGGAACAUGUGGUUUAAUUCGAUGAUACGCGAGGAACCUUACCCGGGCUCAAACGCUGAUAGACCGGUGUGGAAACACGCCUUCCCUUCGGGGCUGUCAGCGAGGUGCUGCAUGGUUGUCGUCAGCUCGUGCCGUGAGGUGUCGGCUUAAGUGCCAUAACGAGCGCAACCCCCAUCUCCAGUUGCCAUCGGUUAAAGCCGGGCACUCUGGAGAGACUGCCGGCGCAAGCCGUGAGGAGGGCGGGGAUGACGUCAAAUCAGCACGGCCCUUACGUCCGGGGCGACACACGUGUUACAAUGGCGGAGUUACAGCGGGAAGCCAGGCGGCGACGUCGAGCUGAUCCCGAAAAUCCGUCUCAGUUCGGAUCGGAGUCUGCAACCCGACUCCGUGAAGCUGGAUUCGCUAGUAAUCGCGCAUCAGCCAUGGCGCGGUGAAUACGUUCCCGGGCCU